UACAGAGGUCUCAAGCGUUGUUCGGAUUCAUUGGGCGUAAAGGGUGCGUAGGUGGCGCGGUAAGUCGGGGUGUGAAAUUUCGGAGCUUAACUCCGAAACUGCAUUCGAUACUGCCGUGCUUGAGGACUGGAGAGGAGACUGGAAUUUACGGUGUAGCAGUGAAAUGCGUAGAGAUCGUAAGGAAGACCAGUGGCGAAGGCGGGUCUCUGGACAGUUCCUGACACUGAGGCACGGAAGGCCAGGGGAGCAAACGGG
rnacentral:rRNA from 1 species